GACGAACGCUGGCGGCGUGCUUAACACAUGCAAGUCGAACGGAAAGGCCCUGCUUUUGUGGGGUGCUCGAGUGGCGAACGGGUGAGUAACACGUGAGUAACCUGCCCUUGACUUUGGGAUAACUUCAGGAAACUGGGGCUAAUACCGGAUAGGAGCUCCUGCUUCAUGGUGGGGGUUGGAAAGUUUCGGCGGUUGGGGAUGGACUCGCGGCUUAUCAGCUUGUUGGUGGGGUAGUGGCUUACCAAGGCUUUGACGGGUAGCCGGCCUGAGAGGGUGACCGGCCACAUUGGGACUGAGAUACGGCACAGACUCCUACGGGAGGCAGCAGUGGGGAAUAUUGCACAAUGGGCGGAAGCCUGAUGCAGCAACGCCGCGUGCGGGAUGACGGCCUUCGGGUUGUAAACCGCUUUCGCAUGUGACGAAGCGUGAGUGACGGUAAUGGGUAAAGAAGCACCGGCUAACUACGUG
rnacentral:rRNA from 1 species